CUUGAUUGAUCUCCCCAGGACACAAAUUCUUUCUCCAGGCUCCAGGCACUGCUGAUUCUCCUCACGAGGUUCUGUGGCCCCUCCUGGGAUCUCUGCAUUUCACCUGGGGCUCAGCUCUCCAGUGCUUCGGGCUUGGCUGACUGAGCUGCUAUUGAUGGUUUAUCAAUUCCCUAAGUGAGCUACCCUGCAACCUGGAGUGCUGUUCUGUUCUCAUAAGGCCCUUGCUUUUAGGAGGAACAGAGGCACUCAGCUCUUCAGACCUGCCUUUUCAACUCACAAUACUGCCAAAAUUAAGCCAUGUAGGUUUGGACUUUUUGUACUGGCUGUCUUCAUCUCAUCAAGAUUAACCAAUUUCAUGCUGUUUUCAAAUUUCAGUGGUAAGUUCACUAUUUUUAACAGGGUUUUAAGUGAGCACAAAUACCACCUUCUUUAAAAUCAGCAACAGGAUAAUCAGCGAUACUCUCAGCAGCAUCUGAUAUGGACUUAAUUUAAAGAGAAAACCUAAAGUAUUAAUUGUGGUAGCACCGUAGUGUGUGAUACCCACAUGCUAAUAAAAAGGAGAGAGAUGUCUUUAAACAGACAACUCUGAGAAAUAAAGGUCAGUGAGAGAGACUAAAGUGUUGUAUAUAAUAUAAAGGCUCCAGUUCUUGACCUCCUGUGCUACAGCUUCUUUGGGCACAUUUGAUUCAUUAGAUAAAGGCUAUCUUUAUGUCUUUCAUGUAAUCACUUAGCAAGAACCAUCCUGAUUGACCUGUUAAUACUCCUGAUUUAUUAACACUUGCUUCUUGUUUUAUUUCCUGGAGGCCACAGUUCCAAUCCUGGCACGAUUCCAUUUCCAUUAAGAUUGGUGGCAAAAGGGCAGCCCUUAAACCACAGAAGAGGUUCAGGAGGAAGCAGUUUAUAUCUUCCCAGGUUUCCAAGUUUGGAGCUUGUAAUUUCUUUCUUUAUCAGAUUUACAAUGCCUUCCACUAUAGUGGAACGUUGGUGCUAAUGUUCUUUUACUAAGUUUUCAGGCUUCAGAUAAACUUAUUCCAUUUUCUCUGCUCAUCUUCAAACCUGCCAAACUGUUCCUAAGAUCUGAUUCAGUGAGCAGUUUAGUUUGCCCUGAAUAUAGUCUUUAGAUAACAUGAACUAGAAAACCUAUAAAAUGAUUUCUUCUUGUCUGAGGAGUAUCUGCCCAGUAGCUACUUAAAAUUUCUGUAACAACAUAGAUUUCAGGACAGAGAUUCUGUGAUUUCCAUUUUUAUUUGCUAUAAUAUAUUAUUAACUUAUCGCUGCUGACUACGGAGUUGCAGCAUUCUUGGGAAAUGAUUUGGCAUCAGAUUUUCCAUAAGCUUGCAAAAAUUGUUUAUUGAAUAGCAUGGGUUGCCAGCACCCUGGACAACUGAGAACACUGUGUUUGUUUUCUAUUAAAGUCAGACAAAAUUGACAUAGACUUAUUUUUUAUCCAGAUGCAAAGUGGUAAUAAAAGAGAAUUUAAGAGCAGCAUUAUGGACACUGAGUCAACAUGAAAGGUUCACGAUUUGUGACAAAAGGAGGUUUCUGGCAAGAAGCCUUUGCAGUGUAGACCAGACCGAGGAAAUUUUUCUAUGCUGAAGAGAAGAUGCUGCAAAUUCUCCUGUGGCUUCAAAUAACUUCUGAAAGUUACAGCCUCACACUUCACAGGGAACUACAGAAACCAAGAUUUAUUUAUUUUGCCCUCUAAAUACUGCCAGAUAAGAAGACAUGACACUGAACUGGAUAUAGAAGUUCUCACAUGAAAUCCUCCCCUACCAUAAGAUGUUCUCUGGUGCCUUCUUUUUCUUUUUUUUUUUU